rnacentral:lncRNA from 1 species
GUAACGGAAUGUAUCGAUUUUUUCCAAAAUGUACGUAUUGAUAUCGAUUGAUAAUCGUUUCCACAAGCGAAAUGGUGGAAACUAUUGGUGGAAAGAUUCAUGCCUUCAUUGAAAGUGUCAAGUAUGGCUGUGUCGUGUUAUCGUGUAUGUUCGUGAAUCGUGAUAACGGUGAAUCGUGAUAACGGUAUAACUAACUGAUAACUAAAUUUACAUGAGUUAACAUAGUUAUGCUUUCCAACUGAAGCACUUGACUUGAUCAAGCAGUUAACUGUCGAGUUUGCCUUGGAGGAUGUGACGUCUUUUGCUUCUGCCAGUCAUAUUACUUCUAAUCAUUUCAAGCAACAUGUUAUACCCAUCAUACCUCCACAUGAAAGGACUGCUCUUACAUCCCACGAAAGACUCCCCAGUUGGAGUGAACAAAACUCGAUUUAGGAAAUGAUAUCCAAUCAAUGAGGACAUCUCAAAGGAACAGAGAUUCAGGACUGGAUUAUAUCAUGCUCGCGAUCCGUAUGCUUUCGACCUUGAAGUUACUUAUAACAGCUUGGGAGUCGGUGGAACAAAAAUAAGAACGAGUACGAUUUACGAGAAUUCUCUAGACGGUCUUCACGACAUAUCUUCAUGACCCUGAUACAGCUACGUAGCCCGACGUGAGGUUAUGCCUGUCAAGUAAUCAAUGUCAUUUAAGCUCGACUCUAUCUUGGCCUUUUUCUUUUGACUUACGGUCGACAAUCAAAAAGGCGUGCCUUGUUUUUCGGAAAGAAUAGUAUGGACAGCGUGCCCUGGUCAGUUAAUAGAGCCUGGCGUCAUCCAACACUCGAUGCCAGCAGAAGAACGUUCCAUAGCUCCCCGGCCGAACUGCACUGGAGCGAGUCGACGAAGUAGCCAGCAUCCUUCUGAACUCAAUUCAAAGUCUUUUCGAUGUCCAACUUUGCUAAUGGCGGGUCCGCGAUUGCUGUCGCUUCUUGAUUAGAAUCAAACUUGCGGUUUCAAGGCGACCGAAAAGAAAUAACACUGGGCAGUGUUAAGCGAUAGAUGUUUUUUUCGUAACAACUUCUGGAGGCUUAUUGCAUUCUUCAAAGCCUUCUUUUGAUUUCUGUCAAAUCAAGAAGGGGGACCAUCGGCAUUCAGCUUUCUACGUUGGAAAUAUGUUCCGCCAGUUUUCUGUUUCUUCCGGCUCUCUACUACGGAUGUUUUUAUUCGAUGCUGGCGGUCAAUUCUUUCAACCCGGAACUUUCGUCGUUUAAUAACUCAACAUUGUCGUGGCGCAUUCACCCCGGGCAAGUUUGGAUGGCCAUUUUCUCGUCCAUGAUGCGUUUUAGAAGAUACAAAUCAUAAGCUUAACCUAAAUCAUAAGUUCCUUACGUUGAUAUUUUGCGAUGCUGUGUGGAUGAGUCAAAUGAAUACAUGUGUAUUUACGAAACUAAA